UGAAACUAUUCAACAAAAAAACAGAGCUCGUUUUCUGCCUAGUCAAGGAUUUCAACGGCGAUCAUCAUCAUCAUCAUCUGCUUCUCCACUUUGCGAUUCAAUUUCACCAGCAGCUACUUCAGUUGCAGUAAAUAUUCCUCAUGAUAGAGGGCGUGAGGCUCAUUCUGAUGGCGAUGUGGUGCUUCAUUAUGUUGCAGAUAUUUCCAGACUCUGACCCUAAGUGAAUAGGGGCUGCAUCUUCUACCUUCAUAAAAAAAUAGUAAGUUGAUCCAAUGAACUGCAUAUGAAGUGCUGCAUUGGAGCUGAACUUUGAUGUUUUGGUUUUGAUUCUGAUAGUGACUUCCCAACCAAGAUGCAAUGAACCUUAGUACUUUAUUUGAUACAAUGAACCUGACAGGGAAUGAAUCCUUUUCUUCAGAACAGCUUUGUUGUUUGUUUAAUGUUGAAAAUGAGAUUUAUGUCAUAUUGGACUUUUAUCACUAAUUUGUAAGUGCAUGUACAUGAUAAAGGAAACUUCAUCUAUCCUUAUAUUCUAUGCAGCCUGUGCAAGUGAUUCUACACGUGGAUACAUCUUCUAAACAUGGUUUGUUUUUUACUUGUAUGUAUAUAUGGUAUUCUUUCACUGCAGAAUUUUGACAGUAACCUCACCAACCACGAUUCGACCUUCAAACAACCUAAUAUGUUUGUGGUUGGAAACUGCAUCAACUUAUAUUCUCGACUGAACUAUAGAUAGAUAUUCAUUUAUGUGCUGGAAGAUCCUUUAUCAUACCUGACGUCCAAAGUGAUGCUAUGUGCUGAUAUCAAUCUAGGCCUUUAAGUGAACUGCUAUAUUAUAUCUUAUGCUAUAUGCCUUGCCUGGAAGUUGUCUCGUUCGGGUUUCCGUACGGUUUUUAUACCGGAGAGUCCUUUCUGAUGUCAAUCUAGGCCUUUAAGUGAACUGCUAUAUUAUAUCUUAUGCUAUGUCUUGCCUGGAAGUUGUCUCGUACGGUUUUCAUACUGGAGAAUCCUUUCUGAUGUCAAUCUAGGCCGUUAACUGAAUGAAUGAUUGUUGCCCUUAUGCCUAUUAUGGAACUAAUUUCAGGGACUUGGCUGUUAGCUGUUGUAAAAAGAUUACUUAAUCCGUGAUUGCCAAACUAAAUUUGGAUUAUGUAAUAUGGUCAAGUUUAUCAUUCUGUGCCAUCAUUGUUUACAUCUUCUAUUCCAGGAAUAUAGACUUGGUUCCUCUGUUUACAGUGCAUUUAGAUUAAUCAUGGUCAUCCUCUGAAGCAUAGUUCAUUUCAGGUGAGACUCAUGCAUGAAUGAGGCUGGUUAUGAGAUUAGACACUUAGAUGCCACCUUAAUUCUUCAAAAACCGAGCCCACACAAGGAGUUUAUCAAAACCAACUUGUCCGAUCUGCUAGUCGCCGACCCCGUUGUAAAUUUUAAGGCUAAUCUGUAGUAAAAGUGAAUGUUGUUAUCUCUAAAAGAUCAAAGUUCGAGCACUUAUGUUUGCAAGGUGUGCUCGUAUACUUCCGAAGCUGUGGUAUUGCUUGU